rnacentral:tRNA from 2 species
GCGGGAAUGGCGGAAUUGGCAGACGCGCAAGACUUAGGAUCUUGUGUCAUUGACGUAGGGGUUCAAGUCCCCUUUCCCGCACCA